UUGAGAUCCUCUGAGAAUUAAAUCCGCUGCUUGUCUACCGAACAGAUAAUGGCAGGGCAAGCUUCCCACAUCACUGCCUCCUGCCAAUGCGGCUCAGCCCUGACCUGGCUACCAUUCAUGACUGGACAGAGUAGAGUUCAUUCUCUGUAUCCCAUUCAUAGCCACU
ensembl:misc_RNA